UACAGAGGGGGGCAAGCGUUGUUCGGAAUUACUGGGCGUAAAGGGCGCGUAGGCGGCCGCCUAAGUCAGACGUGAAAUCCCUCGGCUCAACCGGGGGAACUGCGUCUGGUACUGGGUGGCUUGAAUCCGGGAGAGGGAUGCGGAAUUCCAGGUGUAGCGGUGAAAUGCGUAGAUAUCUGGAGGAACACCGGUGGCGAAGGCGGCAUCCUGGACCGGCAUUGACGCUGAGGCGCGAAAGCCAGGGGAGCAAAGCGGG
rnacentral:rRNA from 1 species